rnacentral:rRNA from 1 species
UACGUAGGUGGCAAGCGUGUCCGGAUUUAUUGGGUUUAAAGGGUGCGUAGGCGGUCUAUUAAGUCAGUGGUGAAAUAUGGCAGCUUAAACUGUCAAGGUGCCAUUGAUACUGAUGGACUUGAGUUGAAAGUCGAGGUUGGGCGGAAUUGACGGUGUAGCGGUGAAAUGCUUAGUAUAUCGUCAAGAACACCGAUUAGUGAAGACAGCUAACUAGACUUAUACUGACGCUAGGCACGAAAGUGUGGGGA